rnacentral:lncRNA from 1 species
GUCAUUUUCUGAUUCAUUACAAAAACAAAAUAGCUAUAAAAUAGCUUCAAAAAACCAAGUUAAUAAUUUAAUUUUGGAUGUAACGCGUCCUCUGAUUGGCUGACGUUAUUUUGUUAUCAGCCCACAGACAUUAUUUAGUUAUGUGACCGUUACGUCAUCAACGUUUAUUCAUGGUUUUCUACGAUUUAAAAUGGAAUAUAGAAUUAAAUUAUAAGAAAUGACUGUAAUAUUUUUUUCUAUACCUGAGUUUUAAGUACAUGUAUG